UUAGCUAGUUGGUGAGGUAACGGCUCACCAAGGCGACGAUGGGUAGCCGGCCUGAGAGGGUGAACGGCCACACUGGGACUGAGACACGGCCCAGACUCCUACGGGAGGCAGCAGUAGGGAAUAUUGCGCAAUGGAGGGAACUCUGACGCAGCGACGCCGCGUGAGCGAUGAAGGUUUUCGGAUCGUAAAGCUCUGUCCUUGGGGAAGAAGGGUGCGAAGCAUCUUGACGGUACCUAAGGAGGAAGCCCCGGCUAACUACGUGCCAGCAGCCGCGGUAAUACGUAGGGGGCAAGCGUUGUCCGGAAUUAUUGGGCGUAAAGGGUGCGUAGGCGGCCUUUUAAGUCAGAUGUGAAAGACCACGGCUUAACCGUGGGGUUGCAUUUGAAACUGGAAGGCUUGAGUAUCGGAGAGGGUAGUGGAAUUCCCAGUGUAGCGGUGGAAUGCGUAGAUAUUGGGAGGAACACCAGUGGCGAAGGCGACUACCUGGACGAAAACUGACGCUGAGGCACGAAAGCUAGGGGAGCAAACAGGAUUAGAUACCCUGGUAGUCCUAGCCGUAAACGAUGGGUACUAGGUGUAGGAGGUUUCGAUACCUUCUGUGCCGCAGUUAAC
rnacentral:rRNA from 1 species